GUUCUUAUAGUUUAAUUAGUAACGGUGGUUUUUCAAGCCAUUUGUCCUGGUUAAAGUCCUGGUGAGAAUU
rnacentral:tRNA from 1 species